rnacentral:rRNA from 1 species
GGGGGGAUAGAUAGUCGGAGCACGGCAAGAGAUCGUAGUGCCUGAUUUAGGAGAUGAGGAAGUCCCCUAAGUCCUGAGACGUCGGCCAGACUCCGGAGGCAGCAAGUCGAGAAUAUUGGACAAUGGGGAAGCCUGACCAGACCAUCCCGCGGAAGUAUGACGGUCCUAUGGAUGUAAACUUCUUUUGUACAGGGAUAAACCUCCUCGUGAGGGCAGUGAAGGUACUGUACGAAUAGCACCGGCUAAUCCGUGCCAGCAGCGCGGUAAUACGGAGGGUGCGAGCGUUAUCCGGAUUUAUUGGGUUUAAAGGGUCCGUAGGCGGGCCUGUAAGUCAGUGGUGAAAUCUCAUAGCUUAACUAUGAAACUGCCAUUGAUACUGCAGGCCUUGAGUAAAUUUGAAGUGGCUGGAAUAAGUAGUGUAGCGGUGAAAUGCAUAGAUAUUACUUAGAACACCGAUUGCGAAGGCAGGUCACUAAGAUUUAACUGACGCUGAUGGACGAAAGCGUGGGGAGCGAACAGGAUUAGAUACCCUGGUAGUCCACGCCGUAAACGAUGCUAACUCGUUUUUGGAUCUUCGGGUUCAGAGACCAAGCGAAAGUGAUAAGUUAGCCACCUGGGGAGUACGUCCGCAAGGAUGAAACUCAAAGGAAUUGACGGGGGCCCGCACAAGCGGUGGAUUAUGUGGUUUAAUUCGAUGAUACGCGAGGAACCUUACCAAGACUUAAAUGGGAAUUGACAGAUUUAGAAAUAGAUCCUCCUUCGGGCAAUUUUCAAGGUGCUGCAUGGUUGUCGUCAGCUCGUGCCGUGAGGUGUUAGGUUAAGUCCUGCAACGAGCGCAACCCCUGCCAACAGUUGCCAUCAUUCAGUUGGGGACUCUGUUGGGACUGCCUACGCAAGUAGAGAGGAAGGUGGGGAUGACGUCAAAUCAUCACGGCCCUUACGUCUUGGGCCACACACGUAAUACAAUGGCCGGUACAGAGGGCAGCUACCUGGUGACAGGAUGCGAAUCUCGAAAGCCGGUCUCAGUUCGGUUGGAGUCUGCAACUCGACUCUAUGAAGCUGGAAUCGCUAGAUCGCGCUGCCGCCUAAAAGAG